CACCGCGGUUAUACGAGAGACCCAAGUUGACAGACAAUCGGCGUAAAGAGUGGUUAAGUACUAAUUUUGCUAAAGCCAAACACCUUCAAAGCUGUUAUACGCACCCGAAGGUUAGAAGCCCAAUCACGAAAGUGGCUUUAAACUAACUGAACCCACGAAAGCUAGGGCA
rnacentral:rRNA from 1 species